GACCAAACGCCAUGCAAAUCACUCUGCUGCUAGAGCCUCAUUGGCCGCUUGUGGCUCAUUUAACCGCUGUCAGUGCGCAUCAUAUGGCCGCCGCUUUAACCAACUUCUCAACUCCGACAUAAGCAAAGUGGCUCAAAUGCGCAUUCUCUCACAGUGGAUGUGAACCAACCCAGGCGAAGACAGGGCGAAAAACUGGUUGGAAAAUUUUUAUAUCCCUUCUCGGAUUAUUUUUUGUGUCGUAUUUGAUUAGUUUGGGUUUCAGAAUAUCAAUUCUGCGACUCAGUCGACCUGUGCGCCCCCGAACUUUGUGCGCACUUAGCCUAUCUUAAAAAAUACUUUUUUCUCUGUUGGUGGCGAACUUUAAAACCAGGUGAAUGUAUAGCAUGAUGAUGGAAACUGACCUCCAUUCCCCCGGCCCCCAAACGAACACUACCACGGGGCAAACGGGGCCGAAUAGCGGGUCCAAAGCGAACCAGGAACGGGUGAAGAGACCGAUGAACGCUUUCAUGGUGUGGUCCCGUGGGCAGCGGAGGAAGAUGGCACAGGAGAACCCCAAGAUGCACAACUCUGAGAUCAGCAAGCGGCUGGGUGCCGAGUGGAAGGUAAUGUCCGAGGCUGAGAAGCGUCCUUUCAUCGACGAGGCGAAACGUUUGCGAGCCAUGCACAUGAAGGAGCAUCCGGAUUACAAGUACCGGCCAAGACGGAAGACCAAGACGCUGCUGAAAAAGGACAAAUAUUCCCUCGCAGGAGGACUGCUUUCUGGGCCCGGUGGGGGUGGUGGAGUUGGUUUAGGGGUCGGCAUGGGUUCAUCGGGGAUCGGACAGAGGUUAGAGAGCCCCGGGGGUCACGGAGGCUCAGGCAGCUCCGGCUACGCGCACAUGAACGGCUGGGCGAACGGUGCGUACUCGGGGCAGGUGGCUGCAGCGGCAGCAGCCGCAGCGAUGAUGCAGGAGGCUCAGCUUGCCUACAGCCAGCACCCGGGGAGCGGAGGGCACCACCACCACCACUCGCACCACCACCACUCACACAACCCGCAGCCCAUGCACCGCUACGACAUGACAGCGCUGCAGUACAGCCCCAUCUCGAACUCUCAGAGCUACAUGAACGCUUCACCCUCCGGCUACGGCGGGAUCACCUACACACAGCACCAGGGCUCCGGCGUCUCCUCCUCCACUGCCAUGGGGACGUUAGGGUCGCUGGUGAAAUCGGAGCCGAGUAUCUCUCCGUUGUUGGAAUAGCAUCUGCACUGGAGCUUUCCGACAAGAGAUUGUUGUCGGCUGUCAGGCUGUUUAAGCAAAGUGAUGACCAGUGGACAUGGAUCACUGCGGGUGGGACUGUGAUUUACAGAUAGCUCCUCGUCUCCUCCGCGAGCAGGCAUCAUUACGACGAACGCUCGGAGAUGGGACCUUUUGGAAAAUGUCGGCAACAGUCAGAGCCCUCAAAUUCUUCCAUCUACUCUUUCCCCUCUGAUGCUUUCUUCUGUAAACCCAUUAUUAUUAUUAAUAUUAUUAUCUAAUAUUUUGUAUCUAUGUAUUGUGUCAAGUUUCCCAGCAUGUGGAUCUUUUUCUUACCGUAACAUCGACUGGAACAAAAAACAGCACCAGCUCCUUAUUUCCCUCAUCUCAGCAUAAACAAACAAACCAAAAAGAGAAAUAAACAAAUAAAUAAAUAAACUGCAGUGUCUGCAGCAGCUCUCCAUCCUCCCCAUUCUGUUUCACUGGAGCCAGCUUCACUGUCUUAAUAUCCUUAUCCCCUCGGCUGGCAUGUUUUUCAUGAACCCGCUGCAUUUUUCAGAUUUUUAAAAUCCGUCAAAUGCCUGUAAUGAAUAUUUCUACAGCCUCGAGUGUGUUUAAUGUGCUGUGUGACCAGCGCAGCAGGAAACUCUGGCACUUGGACCUGGGUGAUAAUUGGACUGAGGCCUCAGCCAGUGAGGAAACAGGUGAAAUGAAAUAAACAUUUAUUAUCAGAUAUGUUCUAAGAUUGUAUUAACAUAUUCCCUUUGCAUGGGUGUACACAUCAUGUAUAUUUCCAUUUUACCUAUUUUUUCCUAAAAUAUGAAACUGUUAGCAGAGUUUUCUUGCAUUUUUAAAUGUUAUCUUUCACUCAACACUUGUAUUUUAGUCUAUUUGUUUGUUGUCUUAAACAGCUUUUUGUGAAAAGAGAAACUGUGUGUUAAAUAAACUCCUGCAUCUUAUUGCUGCUUAAGAA